AUGAAUCCUUUAAGUAAAAGAAAAAAAAAAUCAACACAAUUAUUAAUACAAAAUGAAUUUAGACGCAGAUAAACCUAUCUAUAAUGUCAUCCCGUUAUAAUAAAAUUUUACUAUAGCGGAUCGAUUUUCUUUGAAAUAGAUUUUUUUAUGUUAUAUUUUACUUCUAUAUAACGACAUUCUACCUAUAACAACAAUGUCAUUUAUUAUAAGGUUACACUCUUUAUAAAAUUAU
rnacentral:lncRNA from 1 species